CUGUGUGUAAAGGCGUGUCCAUGUAGCUGUGCAAUAAAACCAGUCAACGGGGACAUUGUGAAACUGAACCCUACAAUAGGGGACUGCAGUCAGCACUUUACACACAGAAGACAGGAGAGAGACAGGAGAGAGAGACAGAGAGAGACAGGAGAGGGAGGCGAGAGAGAGACAGAGAGAGAGACAAGAGAGAGACAGAGAGAGAGACAGGAGAGAGAGAGACAGGAGAGAGAGACAGGAGAGGGAGGAGAGAGAGACAGGAGAGAGAGAGACAGGAGAGGGAGGAGAGAGAGAGACAGGAGAGAGAGAGACAGGAGAGAGAGAGAGACAGGAGAGAGAGACAGGAGAGAGAGAGACAGGAGAGAGAGGAGAGAGAGACAGAGAGAGAAGAGACGAGAGGGAGGAGAGAGAGACGAGAGAGAGAGACAGAAUAGGGAGGAGAGAGAGAGAGAAGGGAGACAGAAGAGGGAGGAGAGAGAGAGAGACAGGAGAGGGAGGAGAGAGAGAGAGACAGGAGAGGGAGGAGAGAGAGAGAAGGGAGACAGGAGAGGGAGGAGAGAGAAGGGAGACAGGAGAGGGAGGAGAGAGAAGGGAGACAGGAGAGGGAGGAAAGAGAGACAGGAGAGGGAGGAGAGAGAAGGGAGACAGGAGAGGGAGGAGAGAGAAGGGAGACAGGAGAGGGAGGAGAGAGAAGGGAGACAGGAGAGGGAGGAAAGAGAGACAGAAGAGGGAGGAGAGAGAAGGGAGACAGGAGAGGGAGGAGAGACAGGAGAGGGAGGAGAGAGAGACAGGAGAGGGAGGAGAGAGAGAGAGAGAGAGAAGGGAGACAGGAGAGGGAGGAGAGAGAGAGAGAGAAAGAGAGACAGAAGAGGGAGGAGAGAGAAGGGAGACAGGAGAGGGAGGAGAGAGACAGGAGAGGGAGGAGAGAGAGAGAGAAGGGAGACAGGAGAGGGAGGAGAGAGAGAAGGGAGACAGGAGAGGGAGGAGAGAGACAGGAGAGGGAGGAGAGAGAAGGGAGACAGGAGAGGGAGGAGAGACAGGAGAGGGAGGAGAGAGAGACAGGAGAGGGAGGAGAGAGAGAGAGAGAAGGGAGACAGGAGAGGGAGGAGAGAGAGAGAGAGAAAGAGAGACAGAAGAGGGAGGAGAGAGAAGGGAGACAGGAGAGGGAGGAGAGAGACAGGAGAGGGAGGAGAGAGAGAGAGAAGGGAGACAGGAGAGGGAGGAGAGAGAGAAGGGAGACAGGAGAGGGAGGAGAGAGACAGGAGAGGGAGGAGAGAGACAGGAGAGGGAGGAGAGAGAGAGAGAAGGGAGACAGGAGAGGGAGGAGAGAGAGAAGGGAGACAGGAGAGGGAGGAGAGAGACAGGAGAGGGAGGAGAGAGAGAGAGAGAAGGGAGACAGGAGAGGGAGGAGAGAGACAGGAGAGGGAGGAGAGAGACAGGAGAGGGAGGAGAGAGAAGGGAGACAGGAGAGGGAGGAGAGAGACAGGAGAGGGAGGAGAGAGAGAGAGAGAAGGGAGACAGGAGAGGGAGGAGAGAGACAGGAGAGGGAGGAGAGAGAGGAGAGGAUGCAUGAAGAUGUGUUUGUCCAUUGCGCUUUUUCAACAGUUGUCUUUGAAACAAAUGGUUUCAAAUCCUUUCUAA
ensembl:lncRNA